CCACAGGAUCCUCAUCUGUACCCUCAACCAACCACAGAUUGAAAAUAGUUGGACAGCAAAAGUGGACGUUGCUGGACAGGCAGAGGCUUCUUCCCCCGGUCACUACUCCCUGACCGAGGCAGUGUACGAGCGAUCCACGCGGUCAGGCAUCAUCAGUCGCCUGGAGGUGACUUAAAGUAUGCAGGACGAGGUGCACAGGGUGGACGCAAAUACGAAAUACUGGACAGCUUCUAUAAAGGACUUGACGCCAGGGAAGGGCCCGGAACCAACCCCCCGGGGACACAGAGGGACGCCCAGUGGCAGGGAUUAUUGUCACUGGUCAUUGGCUCCUUGAGCUGCCGGCCACAGGAUCUUCAGGAAUCAGGACCCCUGCUGUGGAGAGCACCUGGGUGCAGAGCCCUGUUGUCACCGAGCACUGGCCUCUCCCUCUUGGGCUGUCAGGCUCUUGGGGCAGCAGUAGCCAGGGGAGAAUGGAGGCUCACCUAGGAGACCUGGAGAAGGGGCAGGACAGGCCUAGGCGGCCAGCCACUGGGGCCCCAGCUCUGGGCAGGGAGCUGGUGUUCUGCUGCGAACACAGGUGAAGGGAGCUGUGGCUGUGAACGGCAUCAUUUGCCUCUGGCAGUGUCACCGUGGCUGGUGUUGGUAGAGAAAUGGGCUCUGGCUCGUGCUAAGAACCUUCUAGAACCUUCCAUCUCCCCGUGUCGUCCUUGGAGACGGGGCUGUCGUCACCCUCACUUUAUAGGUGACCCAAGUGACGCCCGAGGGGUGCAGGGACUUGCUCACGGCCACACCGACCCUAACGAGAGGGGCUGUCGGUUGCACCCGAGUCUGAUGGCUUUACCUCCUGCAGGCAGCCCCAUUGUCUGCAGGACCAGGGCCAGUGCCAGGCAGUGGCUGUCUCGUGGCACUGUCCCGGGGCACUGCAGGGCCGACAGCACCGUCCAGACACCUGGCCGCCAGGCUGCCGGCGCCUGGCCUCCCUUCCGAGCUCAGCACACCGCUAUCUCCUAGCCUUCCUCCCCCGCCGGCCACCCUGGGCGCGGUGCAGCAAAAAGCGGGACUUAUCAAGACAAAGAACAAAAGUCGUGGGGGAAAGAAGCCAAGAGCCAUCUCCACUCUGGGGUAGGGCCCUUCAGUUUCGCCCCUUUGAAAUUUCAAAUUCCAGUUUGUGGACAAAGUCCUAACUAUCUCACAAUAUAGGUCCCCAACCACUGACCAACCGCCAGUCCUGGCAGCCACCCGGCCGAGGCUGGCCUGGGCCUGGCCGCUUCCUUUGGCUCCCAAGGCCUUGGGGACGGGGAGAGGGGGUCUGCUGGGUGGCUGACCCUGCGGCUGCAGCGCACCCCACGGGGACCCCUGCACCCCAUCUCACAGCCCUGGGCUUGGAGCUGGGAUCGGACGCUCGCUGGGACCGAGAGCAGGGAGCAGGCGCUCUCCCCAGCCACCCUCUCUGCGCAGCCCUGCGGGCUUGGGCGGGUUCGGGGGCUCCUCCUGUGCCCACUCACAGUCCUCCAAGCAUCACAUCGUCAUCAUGGACUCAGAGAUGCCCACCAGGCGCCUGUCUGCUUCCACCACCGGACUGUGUCAGUUUCCCGGGGCCCCAGCUGGUGAGUGAGGGGAUGGCGACCAGGCCCAGCCACAGGCCCAGCAUUUAUCCCGCGCCUUCCACGUGCACGGUGGGCGCUGGGGGCACAGCAGCUGAGACACGGACAGGAUGGCUCGAGGGGCUGAGGUCCAGUACACACACACACACAGGAUCCGGCUCAGAUUUCAGACGGGACGACUAAGAGUGAGCACUCCACUUCUUGGAGGCAUCCCCUUAUACAAAGCUGUUUAUCUCACAUUUGGGGGGAAAGUGGUGGAAACAGACAGUAAACAAGCCAAGAGGAAAAAAAAAAAAAAACAAAGCAAAAACACAAGUAAAUGUCAAGCAGGCACCCAGGGCAGAGGCGGGCAGGUGCAGGACUCUCCCACCAGGGGCGGGUCCUGGCCGCAGGGCGGCGGCCACUCCUUCGGAUAAGGUCUCCGGGGAUCCUAAGGGGGUAGGGUGGGCUGUUGUCCUGGAGAGAAGGACCCUAGGCGGGCGGGGCUGCUGAGUUUACAAGGCGGACUGGCAACUCUGGGCUUUCACAGACCACGAACCCACAGCCCCACCCCUCGGGUCAGCCAAUGUCCUCCUGGGGCUGGGAGCCAGAAGACGGGGCAAGGGGCUGUGCAGAGAAGCGUGGCCACCUGGCGGGAGCCAGGCGCCGGGACAUACUUCUCCAUCGUCCCCUCGCCUGUUCGGCGGUUGCCCCAGGGCGCAGGGCGCAACCCUCAGGGCGCCGGGCAGGAGGAAGCACCGCAAAGCGGCUCUGUGCGCUUCCCGGGCGCCUCCUAGUGGCCAAAGCAGGAACUGGCGCUCAGAAACUCAAAGGGUGGCCCCGGCGUCACCAAUGGCAGCCAAUCACGGGCGCCCACUCAGCACGCUCACCAAUCACAACUCGCAGGCGCACUUCCGUCCAAUCACACAGCAGCACAUGGUCGCUGAACCAAUCAGAACACGAGAUUUAAAAACCCGGGCCUGCGGCCAGCACCACGCUGUCAUUCCACAGAAGCGGUGUUCCUAAUGCCUGGUCCAGAAGUUUGGGGGCCUUUAAGCAAAGCCUCGGGCGUUGUGCUUGCUCCACGUGGCAGCACCCAGGGGCGUUUGGUCAUAUUCCCAUCAUUCAAUAUCACACACACGGCUGGCAAAAAAAAAAAAAAAAAAAACAAAAAAAACAACCAACAAGGUCCUUGUGAUCCGCACUUGUCACCUUGCAUUAAAGGACAUCCUGGCGUUUGUGUGGGUUCCUCCUGCCCCUCGCCCCUUUAUUAUCUGUCGCUGACCCAGUUAUUUCUUCUCAACUAGGAAUCAUACAGGCACUUAUCCGGACCUGACUUCUCCCCGCCCCCCAUUAGGGGGCUGACCUUGCCUGGGGCACUGCCCAGGGCGCUCUCGCAGCUAGCACAGUUUAAGAGAAGCAAAUAGCAGGUGGUUCACAGGUACCUGCUGGAUGGAUGACUGGAAGGGUUCUUGCUGAGAGACAGAUAAUAGCAGGCACACUGGUUAAAAAUCAGUCCAGUGGGCCGGCGCCGCGGCUCACUAGGCUAAUCCUCCGCCUUGCGGCGCCGGCACACCGGGUUCUAGUCCCGGUCGGGGCGCCGGAUUCUGUCCCGGUUGCCCCUCUUCCAGGCCAGCUCUCUGCUGUGGCCAGGGAGUGCAGUGGAGGAUGGCCCAGGUGCUUGGGCCCUGCACCCCAUGGGAGACCAGGAUAAGUACCUGGCUCCUGCCAUCGGAUCAGCGCGGUGGCCAUUGGAGGGUGAACCAACGGCAAAGGGAAGACCUUUCUCUCUGUCUCUCUCUCACUGUCCACUCUGCCUGUCAAAAAUAAAUAAAUAAUUAAAAAAAAAAAAGCGAUUGUCAUACGUAGAUAUUCACUGAAAAUGACUCCAUGUUUAUAGUAGAAAGUUUGGAAAGUAACAGAAAAUGCGGAGAGUACAAGUUACAUGUGCUCCUGCUUGCAGAGAGCUGCAAACUCUUAACUGUUAAGUGAAUUUCCUGAUCUCAGCAUUGUCAACCUUCAGGGCUGGAUCUAUCUUUCUAAGAUUUACAAUGAGACUUUCAGAGAGGGAGAGACAGAGAUUUUCCAUCUGCUGGUUCACUCCCCAGGUGGCCACACGGCCAGAACGGAGCCAGGAGCUUCAUCCAGGUCCCCCACAUGGCAGCAGGGGCCCAAACACUUGGGCCAGCUUCCACUGCUUUCCCAGGCGCAUUAGCAGAGAGACUCGAAGCAGAGCAGCUGGGACACGAACCGGCACCCGUACACGAUGCCAGCAUGGCAAACAGCGGCUUCCGCUGCUACACCACAGUGCGUGGGCCAUCUCACAGUGUCUGUGCCCACCAGGUGCCAGGGGAUGGUCCCUUUCUCCCAAGCCCACGCGUCUGCACACACUCACAAGUGUCCCCCAGUGGAGACCCACAGCAUCAGGCCUCAGGGCGUAUGAGACAUUUCCUUCCCGUCACCCCGUGCUUCUCAAAGUGCAGCAUCCCUAAGCACCCGCUGUGGCCAGCACGAAGAAUGCCGAGGCCCGGGUCCUGCCUCCUGCCUCCAGGCUCCAGGCUCCAGGCUCCAGGCUCCAGGCUCCAGGCUCGACAGUGGGCCGAGGACAGAGGGAGAGCGAGCUCCAGGUGCUUCUGCAGCAGGGCCCUCGGAGCCCGCCUCGGGAUCCCCUCCAGGAAGCUCCAGGGACAACCACGCACCACGGGAGGCGCCCUACCCACUUGGACCCUGGCCUUGAACUCCUCCGCUUCCCAUUUCCUCUUCCCUGAGAAUCCAGUCAAAGGACGCACAGAACCACAUCCUGGCUCAGCCACAGCCCCUGUCGCCUGCUGCUCUUCUGGGGACAAAAGCCACAGAGCUAGGAGGAAGUCACAGCACCCCCGCCCCGCCCCAUCCUAAAGGAGCCCCGAGUGCUUCCUGGGAGAAGGCUCUGCCCCUCAGCUGGUUCUGUCGGGCUGUCUUCUCCCUGCUGGACCAGAGGCUGGAAAGGCAUCGUGGCUGAGUGUGCAAAUUCUGGAACCCGACUCCCUGGACUUGAACUAGACAAGGCACCGAACUGCUCUGUGACUGUUGUCUGAUUUGCAGACUAGGUGCAACAGGAGCAUGGAUGCGUUGGGUUAUUGUGGGAUUGCUUGUGGUGGUGUGUGCAAAGGGUUCAGAAGCGUGCCUUGCACGUGGUGGCAGCUGUAGCAGCGUCACCUGCAAAACAACGGCAGGAUCAAGCCGGUUUGGAGAAGUGUCCGAGCUCAGUGGAAAGAAAAACUUCUCCACACUGGUUAAAAAUCAGUCCAGUGGGCCGGCGCCGCGGCUCACUAGGCUAAUCCUCUGCCUGCGGCUCUGGCACACCAGGUUCUAGUCCCAGUUGGGGCACCGGAUUCUGUCCCAGUUGCCCCUCUUCCAGGCCAGCUCUCUGCUGUGGCCCGGGAGGGCAGUGGAGGAUGGCCCAAGUACUUGGGCCCUGCACCCCAUGGGAGACCAGGAGAAGCACCUGGCUCCUGGCUUCGGAUCAGUGCAGUGUGCAGGCCGCAGCGGCCAUUGGGGGGUGAACCAAUGGAAAAAGAAGACCUUUCUCUCUCUCUCUCUCUCACUGUCCACUCUGCCUGUCAAAAAAAAAUAAUAAUGAAAAAUCAGUCCAGUGGACGGGUGCUGAUGGGGAGCUCUCUUGGUGGCAGGAGACUCAACAAAGCCUAGCGGUGUGACAGCAGCAGCUGCCCUGAGUUCUGACCCCAUCUCCUAUGUCAUCAGCGAGGAGGUAGGGACAAGUCCGAGGCGCUAGGAGGCCCUCUGCCUUCUUCCUUAAAGGCCACAUACAGACAACUGUGUCUGGUUUCCACUGGGAUAGAAACACUCCAUCCAAGGGGGCAGGAAGAGAAAGUUCUGUCACUUGAAGAAUGAUUGGAGCGCUGAAGACGGUCCGGGCUGGGUACUCGGAAGGAAGAGGGGCAGUGUGGCCCAGUGGUCAAGGCCAUGGCCUUUGACAGUAUCAGUGAUGCCCUCUAUACAGCUGCUUGAUCUACAAAUCACAAGCUUGUCUGUCCACCAACAGGACCGCUUCCUGGACUGCUUGUAGAGGAAGUGGGGCAAACCUUAUCCACCCAGCCUUGCAGCCACUGGCAUGCAGCUGUGCGAUUUGCUGAAUUCAAAGUAGAGUCACCUCGGGACCUGCACCGUGGUGCAGUUGGCUAAGCUUCUGCCUGUGGCACCGGCAUCCCAUGUGGGCACCAGUUCGAGUCCCAACUUCUCCACUUUCAAUCCAGCUCCCUGCUGAUGGCCUGGGAAAGAACUGGAAGAUGAACCAAAUGCUUGGGCCCCUGGACCCGCCUGGGAAACGCUGAAGAAGCUCCUGGCUCCUGGCUUUGGAUCCUCCCAGUUCUGUCCAUUGCAGCCAUUUGGGGAGUGAACCAGUAGAUGGAAGACCUUUCUCUCCAUCUCUCCCUCUCUCUGCCUGUAACUUGCCUUUCAAACAAAUAAAAUAAAUCUUUGAAAGGAAAAAAGUAGAAUCAUCUUGCAGUACCUGAGGGGGAUCAGUUCCAGGACCGUAGUGGACAACAGAGUCCUUGGAAGUCAAGUUCUUUAUGGAAAUGGUGUAGCAUUUGCAGACAGCCAUGCACAUCCUCCUGUGCACUUUUGUUGUUGUUUUUAAAUUUUAUUUAUUUGAAAAGCAGAAUUACAGAGAGGCAGAAGCAGAGCGAGAGAGAGAGAGAGAGAGAGAGGUCUUCCAUCCGCUGAUUCACUCCCCAAAUGGCUGCAAUAGCUGGAGCUGCACCGAUCUGAAGCCGGGAGCCAGGAGCUUCUUCUGGGUCUCCUAUGUGGGCACAGGGGCCCAAGGACUUGGGCCACCCUCUGCUGUUUCCCAGGCACAUUAGCUGGAUUGGAAAUGGAGCAGCCAGGACUCGAACCAGCGCCAUGUGGGAUGCUGGCACUGCAGGCGGGUUUACCGGCUACACCACAGCACUGGCCCCUCUCCUAUGCAUUUCAUCUCCUCUCUAGAUUGUAAUACCCAAGACCACGCCAGCACUGUGUCAGUCAUUGAUCUACUGUAUUGUUUGGGGAAUAAGGACAAGAAAGAAAAGACCGUGCCUGUCAGGGAUAGACACAACCAUUCCAGGCCCAACCACAUUUCCAGUCCCUGGGACCUGCAUAUGUGGACACUGUGGAAAUGCAGGGCCAACCACGCUGUCCUUGGGAAAAGAGUACCCAGGGAUUCUCAUGGCUCCUGGGCCCGACUAGGACCCACAGAGGAGCACCACAGGGAGGAAAGUCGGGCUUAAAAUGAAGACCUGGGGGCCAGCGCUGUGGCAUAGCAGGUUAAAGCCCCGGCCUACAGUGCCGGUAUCCUGUAUGAGGGCUGGUUCGAGUCCCAGCUGCUCCAUUUCCGAUCCAGCUCUCUGCUGUGGCCUGGGAAAGCAGUGGAAGAUGGCCCAAGUCCUGGAGCCCCUGCAUCCACGGGGGAGACCUGGAAGAAGCUCCUGGCUUCAGAUUGGCUCAAUUCCAGCCAUUGAAGCCAUUUGGGAAGUGAACCAGCGGAUGGAAGACCUCUCUCUUGUCUCUGCCUCUCCUUCUCUCUCUGUGUAACUCUGACUUUCAAGUAAAAUCGAUAAAUCUUUUUAAAAAAAAUGCAGACUGGUCUGUCAGAUACAAUCAUGUCACAGAAAAGGCUGUUGUAAGUGGUCGGCAUCCUGUCACUGGCUUAGCUCAGUGACCGCCUGUCCAGGUGGAUGGUGAGAAGGUUCCAGCCAUAGGUCAGAGGUCAAAUCAAAACAGCAUCUCCCAGGUGUAAAAGUCUGGAACAAAGCACUGUCAGAACCAAGCUCAUGCUGGGAAAAGCGGAUGUCUGCGUGUAAGAGAACAGGGCUGGGGGCCGGCGCUGUGGUGCAGCUGCUUAAGCUGCCCCCGUACCACUGACUGGCAUCUUACAUGAGCACUGGUUCGAGUCCUGGUUGCUCCACUUCCCAUCCAGCUCCCUGCUAAUGCACCUGGGAAGGCAGCGGAGGAGGAUGGCCCAAGUCCCGGGACCCCUGCCGCCCACAUGGGAGACCCAGAUGGAGUACCAAGAUCCUGGCUUCAGCCUGGCCCAGCCCCAGCUGAUGUGCCCAUUAGGGGAGUCAAUCAGUAGCAUGAAGAUCUCACUCUGUCCCUCACUCCCUCUCUCUCUGUAAACCUGCCUUUCAAAUAAAUAUAAUAAAUGUUUUAAAAAUAAUGAAAUUGGACUGCCUCCUUCCUUACGUUGUAUACAAAAAUUAACUAAAAAUAUUUUAAAUGCAUAAAAUAUGGGGGAAAUUUUAAUAAACAUUGGAUUUCACAAUGAUUUCUUAGAUGUGAUAUCAAAAAUACUGGCAGCCAAAUGAAAAUUAGAUAAACUGGACUACAUCAAAGUUAAAAGCUUGAGGUCAGCGUUGUAGCACAGUGGGUAAAGCCGUUGCCUGCAACCCUGCAUCCCAUGUAGGCGUCAGUUCAAAUCCUGGCUGCUCCACUUCUGAUCCAGCUCCCUGCUAAUGCACCUGGGAAAGCAGAAGAUGGCCCAAGUAGUUGGGCCCCUGCUACUCAUGUGGGAGACCUGGAAGAAGCUCCUGGCUCCUGGCUUCAGCCUGGCCCAGCCCCUGCCUUUGUGGCCAUUUGGGGAGUGAACCAGUGGCUAGAAGAUCAGUCUCUCUUUUUCUCUCUGUAACUCUGCCUUUCAAAUAAAUAAAAUAAAUCUUUAAAAAAUUUAAAAGCUCUUAUACACCAAACAGCACUAUCAAUAGAGUAAAAAAAAAAAGCAAUAGUGGGAAGUAUAUAAAAAUUGUACAUCUGUUGAAGACUUAACGUCCUGAAUAUAUAAAGAACCCCUACAACCCAACAAUAAAAUAAAUAACUCGAUUUAAAAUGGGCAAAGUUCUGGAAUAGGUGUUUCUCCCGAGAAGAUAUUCAAAUGAACCAACAUCAUCAGUCAUCGGGGAAGUGCAAAUCCAAACCACAAGGGGCUACCGCGUCACCUCCCUCGGGACAGAUCCUCUAAAGCAACCACAACGAACAGAAAACAACGAGUGCUGGUGAGGAUGCGUGGGCAUCGGAGCCAGACGUGCCACCGCGGAAAUGUGGAACGGCGCGACUGCUGCGGGAAGCCGUGCGGAGCCUCCUCAAACUGCCCGUGUCUCACCGCCGUCAAACUGGCAGCCCUGCCUCUAGGGGUACGCCUGAAUGUGGGGUGUGGGAGAGGUGUUUGUACAACCACACAGCUAGCAUCAGUAUGUGCAAUGCCAAGACGAGGAAACACCAGAGGCAUCCACUCAUCAGCGGACAAAAAUAAAUGAAUAAAAUGGGUUGUGUCCAUAAGGCAGAAUACUAUUCAGCCUUUAUUUAUUUUUUAAAUAUUUAUUCGAAAGUCAGAGUUACGAGAGAAGGUGGCGGGGGAGAGAAAGAGAGAGAGGGCAGAGAAAGGUCUUCCAUCCGCUGGUUCACUCCCCAGAUGGCUGCAACAGCAAGAGCUGCGCCAAUCCAAAGCCAGGAGCCAGGAGCUUCUUCCGGGUCUCCCACGUGGGUGCAGGGGCCCGAGGACUUGGGCCAUCUUCUGCUGCUUUCCCAGGCCAUAGCAGAGAGCUGGAUUGGAAGUGAAUCAGCCGGGACACCAACCAGCGCCCACAAGGGAUGCCAGCACUGCAGGCAGUGGCUUUGCCCACUACGCCACAGUGCCAGCCCCAAGUAUUCAGCCUUUAUAAGGGAAGGAGAGGCCGCUGCCUGCAGUGCCGGCAUCCCAUGUGGGCUCUAGUUCGAGACCCGGCUGCUCCUCUGCCGAUCCAGCUCUCUGCUGUGGCCUGGGAAAGCAGUAGAAGAUGGCCCAAGUCCUCGGGCCCCUGCACCCACGUGGGAGACUCGGAGGAGGCUCCUGGCUCCAGAUCAGCACAGCUCCAGCCAUUGCGGCCAGUUGGGGAGUGAACCAGUGGAUGGAAGACCCCCCCCCCUCCCUCCCUCCCUCCCGCUCUUCUCUCUGUGUAACUCUGACUUUCAAAUAAAAUAAAUCUUAAAAAAAAAAAAAAUAAAAAAAAUAAA